rnacentral:rRNA from 1 species
GGGGCACCACCGGCGGACGGCUCAGUAACACGUCGGUAACCUACCCUCGGGAGGGGGAUAACCCCGGGAAACUGGGGCUAAUUCCCCAUAGGCCUGAGGUACUGGAAGGUCCUCAGGCCGAAAGGGACUUAUGUCCGCCCGAGGAUGGGCCGGCGGCCGAUUAGGUAGUUGGUGGGGUAAUGGCCCACCAAGCCGAAGAUCGGUACGGGCUGUGAGAGCAGGAGCCCGGAGAUGGACACUGAGACACGGGUCCAGGCCCUACGGGGCGCAGCAGGCGCGAAACCUCCGCAAUGCGGGAAACCGCGACGGGGGGACCCCGAGUGCCGUGGCAACGCCACGGCUUUUCCGGAGUGUAAAAAGCUCCGGGAAUAAGGGCUGGGCAAGGCCGGUGGCAGCCGCCGCGGUAAUACCGGCGGCCCGAGUGGUGGCCGCUAUUAUUGGGCCUAAAGCGUCCGUAGCCGGGCCCGUAAGUCCCUGGCGAAAUCCCACGGCUCAACCGUGGGGCUUGCUGGGGAUACUGCGGGUCUUGGGACCGGGAGAGGCGGGGGGUACCCCUGGGGUAGGGGUGAAAUCCUAUAAUCCCAGGGGGACCGCCAGUGGCGAAGGCGCCCCGCUGGAACGGGUCCGACGGUGAGGGACGAAGGCCAGGGGAGCAAACCGGAUUAGAUACCCGGGUAGUCCUGGCUGUAAAGGAUGCGGGCUAGGUGUCGGGUGAGCCUCGAGCUCGCCCGGUGCCGUAGGGAAGCCGUUAAGCCCGCCGCCUGGGGAGUACGGCCGCAAGGCUGAAACUUAAAGGAAUUG